GAGAGAUCCGUCCGUUGUAUUACGAUUAUUUCGUCGUGAUUAUUAAGAAAUCAUUGUAAAUAAGAAGAUUCUACCUAGUAAAAACAUAUAAAAGAUGACUCAAGUUACGCGCAUGUUUCUACAUAACCUACAGCUUCGGAAUGAUAAUAUAGCCCUGCCUAACUAUGCAAGAACGAAACCCUACAAUGCUAGCAAGUCAAAAUGCCUAUCGUCCUACAGCCCUAGCCCUAGCCAUACCUACACAGAAAAUAUAUAAAUAGAUACAUAGGGCGGGAUACCUGCACCAUGAGACCUAAGGCAACAGGCGGCUAGUGGAAAGGAGAAGGUGUAGGAAGGAUUUUCUUACUGCCAAUCACACAGACUCAUGUGACCGUGGUUAGGCUAAAGGUGUCUUGGCCACAGUAAGAGGAUACUGAAAGUGACACAUAGAACAUAAUAUAAGCAUGCACAGUGAGAUAAAACAAAAAUGACAUGGACAUACACAGUGAAAUUAAAGUGAAAUAAUAAUAAAUAAAACAAGCAGAAUAUGACAACUGUACUUAUUAUAAUAUGAAUUAAUAUUAGAAUGUUGAUGAUAA
rnacentral:lncRNA from 1 species